rnacentral:rRNA from 1 species
AUUGAACGCUGGCGGCAGGCCUAACACAUGCAAGUCGAACGAGCGGCGGACGGGUGAGUAAUGUCUGGGAAACUGCCUGAUAGAGGGGGAUAACUACUGGAAACGGUAGCUAAUACCGCAUACCCUCGGAUGUGCCCAUAGGGGAUUAGCUAGUAGGUGGGGUAAAGGCUCACCUAGGCGACGAUCCCUGGCUGGUCUGAGAGGAUGACCAGCCACACUGGAACUGAGACACGGUCCAGACUCCUACGGGAGGCAGCAGUGGGGAAUAUUGCACAAUGGGCGCAAGCCUGAUGCAGCCAUGCCGCGUGUAUGAAGAAGGCCUUCGGGUUGUAAAGUACUUUCAGCGGGGAGGCGUUACCCGCAGAAGAAGCACCGGCUAACUCCGUGCCAGCAGCCGCGGUAAUUC